GGAAGAUGUGGGUACACUGAUUACCCUCAGGGCUUGGAUCCAUGGUGCAAUUUAUGCAAAUGCAAACCUGGUUUAAAAGGUUCCUGUCCUGCCUGUUAGCCCUUUCCCCACCCUCAUCGUUCCUUCCCACCCCAGUGUGCUUUAUGUAGCUCUUCCUUGGAUCACGCUCCAACUCAGAAGAGUGAUGUGGUUCAGGUUAAACCCAAACUGGGAAGUUUAAGGUGAUAUUUUAAGAUCUUUUUUUGAAAGUGUGCUUAGACCAAAGAGGCUCUGCUCUGAAUCUGUGGGCAAAGCUGGAAUGACAAGCAGGCAAUGUCCAACCUGCUCUGCACAUGUCUCCACAUACCAAGGGAAAAGAUGCUUUAACUGCAUUUUCAGUGCUGCCCUGUUUGAAUGGAAGACAAAGCAGUGUGAGAGCAGAGGUUUUUUGCCAUCAUGAAAUAAUUCAAAUCACUGGAGCAGCAGGAAAAAACAUCCCUUUCUCAGGCCCCCAGCCUCCUGACAUCCACCGCAGGCCCCGUUUCAGUGACUGCGAGCACCUCCCAGCAAGACCAGUGACCUGGGGGCAGGAGAGUCCUGGAUGUCCAUGGGCAUCCAAUGCCCUGCCCAGGCCAUGGAAACCUUCAGGCUCCAUCUGA
rnacentral:lncRNA from 1 species